rnacentral:rRNA from 1 species
UACGGAGGGGGCGAGCGUUGUCCGAAGUUACUGGGCGUAAAGCGCGCGUAGGCGGGUUGGUAAGUCCGCUGUGAAAGCCCGGAGCUUAACUCCGGAGGGUCGGUGGAUACUGCCAGUCUUGAAGGUGCUAGGGGGAGAUGGAAUUACCGGUGUAGCGGUGAAAUGCGUAGAUAUCGGUAGGAACACCAGUGGCGAAGGCGGUCUCCUGGGCCAGCACUGACGCUCAUGCACGAAAGCGUGGGGAGCAAACAGG